AUACGUAGGUGGCAAGCGUUGUCCGGAUUUAUUGGGCGUAAAGCGAGCGCAGGCGGAAUGAUAAGUCUGAUGUGAAAGCCCACGGCUCAACCGUGGAACUGCAUCGGAAACUGUCAUUCUUGAGUGCAGAAGAGGAGAGUGGAACUCCAUGUGUAGCGGUGGAAUGCGUAGAUAUAUGGAAGAGCACCAGUGGCGAAGGCGGCUCUCUGGUCUGCAACUGACGCUGAGGCUCGAAAGCAUGGGUAGC
rnacentral:rRNA from 1 species